UUUCAUCAGUCGUCAGGAAACAGUUUAGCGAGUUAGCAAAUGGCCUCAAGUGCAAAUGUUAAAUAAUAGGAAAAGACCAAUUAAGAGUAAAAAGUCGUCCAAAUGAGGGCGGAAAUUAUUUUUGUUUUGCUAUUAAUGUUUGCAGGAAUAAGUCUCGCUGUCCCUCUGCCGAAAAGAACCGAUGUCAUUUUACCAAGAGAUAACGUGGAGUUGAGAAUGGAGCCACUGUUUGACCCAGACUUUCAUAAGGAACACAUCACCCUGUUUGAUGACUAUGGCAUAAAGCCCAUCCCACCUCGAUUUCCACCCUACCUCCUGCAUGAACAGGGCACCUACGACCCAAACCUGGAUGAGGAAUACUAC